AACGAACGCUGGCGGCAGGCUUAACACAUGCAAGUCGAACGCCCCGCAAGGGGAGUGGCAGACGGGUGAGUAACGCGUGGGAAUCUACCCAGAUCUACGGAACGACAGUUGGAAACGACUGCUAAUACCGUAUACGCCCUACGGGGGAAAGAUUUAUCGGAUUUGGAUGGGCCCGCGUUGGAUUAGCUAGUUGGUGGGGUAAUGGCCUACCAAGGCGACGAUCCAUAGCUGGUCUGAGAGGAUGAUCAGCCACACUGGGACUGAGACACGGCCCAGACUCCUACGGGAGGCAGCAGUGGGGAAUAUUGGACAAUGGGCGCAAGCCUGAUCCAGCCAUGCCGCGUGAGUGAUGAAGGCCUUAGGGUUGUAAAGCUCUUUCACCGAUGAAGAUAAUGACGGUAGUCGGGGAAGAAGCCCCGGCUAACUUCGUGCCAGCCGCCGCCGUAACAC
rnacentral:rRNA from 1 species